CUACAUUCCGUGGCAGCCUGGCUCCAACAUCCCAGGGAAUUGUGUCACUCCCAUUGAGCAGCUGUGGGGCCCUCUCCCACAUGGCCCAGGUCCACCACUCUGUCAAAGGUCGCACAGCCCAGACAAAAACAGGACACAGCAGUGUGUGAAUGAGCCGGGCUUUCUCCUUCCCUCCACGUAAUAGAAGGUGCCUGAGGUUGUUGAAACACAGUCCAUUUCUCCUGGGAAUGACAAGAAUUUGAGGGAUGCUGACUUUCAAGGAAUACUGCAUGACAGGCAUCAAGAUAAACCUGAUGAAGAAAACAUAGGCCAGAAUCUGGGAAUCGGGAGCAAAGUAAUACAGCUUCGGGGACAGGCACGUAAUGAGGUCAUGAUGUAGGAGACUCCCUGCAGGACUGGCGGCCCCUGUUCCCUGGGUUGUUCUGGCUCUUUCAGCUGAAUUCCUGCUUCAUCUGGAGGACUGCACAGUGUAUCUGAGAGAGGAUUUUCAGGAGGCCAGAAAAUCAAGCUGGAGGGAUUUUCAGCGUGUUGGGAGAUUGCUACCUGUUUUAAGUCAGGCCAUUGCCACGUCUUUUUCCCCACCUUGGAGACUUCAGGCCUUCAGACAACACUCCCGCACUGGGUUUAUGAGAGUAACCCCCACCUUCCCAGGAAGUUGGAAGCAUUGCCCCAGCCUUUCCAGAAGCUCUGCCUGCCGUUAGCUUGGAUCAUGAAAAUUGGCUCGGCCAGGAGAAUACAUUAUAAGGCCCCAAACCGCGCCAAAUCUUAAGCCCUCAGAGCAUAAAGAUAAACUGAUUUACAAUUAUUUUCAUUAAAAUGUCAUUUUAGGUAUAUGAA
rnacentral:lncRNA from 1 species